rnacentral:lncRNA from 1 species
CAUUCAUCAAUCAGGGAUGAUGCUUCUGGAACAUUUUUUGCACAAAGGAGCCUGGUGAUGGAUUCUGAGGAGGAUCUGGGGGCAGCUGAAAUUCCCUGAGGGAGUGGGUGGAUGAAAGUGUCUCUUGGAAGCACCAGCCACUGGAGGAGGCACCCUGGGCUUUCCUCCUCCAAAUCUAGAGCAACUCCCAGGCCAAGCAUUUGCACCUUAGAACCUGAGAUCUUCCUAGGCAUUUGCAAAACAAAGCCUCCUCUGCAAGCCACACUCAGAGAUUCUUGCCUGAGCCUCUGCCUCCUCUGUUCCACUUGCACCUCGGAUGCCCCAGAACCAUUGCAGCAAUCACCCAGAUGCAAACCUGAGACUGACUAUGAGACAUAGCCGAAGAGUAUGAGACUGGGAGCUCCUCAGAGAAGUCUUGCCCUUGGAAGGACUGCCUAGCACACUGUGUCACUGCAAGUGUUCAGUACACAUUUGUUGAAAUACAAAUAAAAUUAAAUAAAACAAACAGGAUUUUCCUAGGUAAGGACCUGCUAGGAUAUCCUAGUGUCAUGGUAUUCUUUAGGCUACUGCCUCGGCCCUAGCUCUAAAGAAAGAAGAGAAUAAAUUUGGCAGCAAGCCAGACAUGGAUUCAAACUCCAGUUCCACCUGAAUUUAAACCAGCUGCAUCGGGGCUGGGGGAGUGGCAUAAUAGCAGAGUGUUUGCCUAAACUAGCUAUGUCUCUGCUUUCCCAUCUGCAAAUUGAUGAAAACAAUAAUACCAACUUUAAUUGAAUCCUUACAGCAAUCAAUUGGAUCCUGCCCGAGUUGUAUUAGAGAAGGGACGAGGUUAUGAGCCGUGGAAUAG